UACGUAGGGGGCAAGCGUUGUCCGGAAUCAUUGGGCGUAAAGAGCGUGUAGGCGGCCCGAUAAGUCCGCUGUGAAAGUCCAGGGCUCAACCCUGGAAUGCCGGUGGAUACUGUCGGGCUCGAGUCCGGAAGAGGUGAGUGGAAUUCCUGGUGUAGCGGUGAAAUGCGCAGAUAUCAGGAGGAACACCGGUGGCGAAGGCGGGUCUCUGGGCCGUAACUGACGCUGAGGAGCGAAAGCGUGGGGAGCGAACAGG
rnacentral:rRNA from 1 species